rnacentral:lncRNA from 1 species
AUUGCCUCAUUUCCUGCUGCUUCAGACUGUGUCUAUUCUAGGAAGGCUGACACAUGAUGAGAAGAGUCAGUGGUCCUGAGGUACAGUACUUAAGAUAACCCUGUGAAGGCUGAGAUUGAUAUUUGAAAUUCACAACUGAUCUUGGAGCCUGGUACAGCAGUCAUGGAUUUGUUCAUGUGUGGAUGUGAUGGAACUGAAGUCGCUAGGUUCAUGCUACCUGGAACAUGAGACUGACAAAUAGAGGAGCACUGAGUCAAAUGAAUCUCGGAGAAAUGGAGCUGGAAGAAAACUGGAGAAUGAAAGAAAAGAUAUACGCAAAGUGGAUUCUAAUCAUAGAGUUUCAUUCUUGUUGCCCAGGCUGGAGUGCAAUGGUGUGAUCUUGGCUCACCGCAACCUUGACCUCCUAGGUUCAAGUGAUUCUCCUGUCUCAGUCUCCUGAGUAGCUAGUAUUACAGGCAUGCACCACUAUGCCCGGCUAAUUUUGUAUUUUUAGUUGAGAUGGGGUUUCUCCAUGUUGGUCAGGCUGGUCUCGAACUCCCGACCUCAGGUGAUCCACCUGCUUCAGCCUCCCAAAGUGCUGGGAUUACAGGUGUGAGCAGCCGUGCCCUGCUGAAACUUAUUUGUUUGAGCAAUAAAAGCCACAUAUUUCCUCUUUUGA